CCUACGGGAGGCAGCAGUGGGGAAUAUUGCGCAAUGGGGGCAACCCUGACGCAGCAACGCCGCGUGCAGGAAGAAGGUCUUCGGAUUGUAAACUGUUGUCGCCGGGGAAGAAGACAGUGACGGUACCCUGUGAGAAAGUCACGGUUAACUACGUGCCAGCAGCCGCGGUAAUACGUAGGUGACAAGCGUUGUCCGGAUUUAUUGGGUUUAAAGGGUGCGUAGGCGGACUGUUAAGUCAGCGGUAAAAGCCCGGGGCUCAACCCCGGCGAGCCGUUGAAACUGGCUGUCUUGAGAUGUCGAGAGGG
rnacentral:rRNA from 1 species